rnacentral:misc_RNA from 1 species
CCAAUAGCGUAUAUUAAAGUUGUUGUGGUUAAAAAGCUCGUAGUUGAACCUUGGGCCUGGCUGGCCGGUCCGCCUCACCGCGUGUACUGGUCCGGCCGGGCCUUUCCCUCUGUGGAACCUCAUGCCCUUCACUGGGUGUGACGGGGAAGCAGGACUUUUACUGUGAAAAAAUUAGAGUGCUCCAAGCAGGCCUAUGCUCGAAUACAUUAGCAUGGAAUAAUAAAAUAGGACGUGCGGUUCUAUUUUGUUGGUUUCUAGGACCGCCGUAAUGAUUAAUAGGGACAGUCGGGGGCAACAGUAUUCAAUUGUCAGAGGUGAAAUUCUUGGAUUUAUUGAAGACUAACUACUGCGAAAGCAUUUGCCAAGGAUGUUUUCAUUAAUCAGGAACGAAAGUUAGGGGAUCGAAGACGAUCAGAUACCGUCGUAGUCUUAACCAUAAACUAUGCCGACUAGGGAUCGGACGAUGUUAUUUUGUGACUCGUUCGGCACCUUCCG